rnacentral:rRNA from 1 species
AGAGUUUGAUCAUGGCUCAGAUUGAACGCUGGCGGCAGGCCUAACACAUGCAAGUCGAACGGUAACAGGAAGAAGCUUGCUUCUUUGCUGACGAGUGGCGGACGGGUGAGUAAUGUCUGGGAAACUGCCUGAUGGAGGGGGAUAACUACUGGAAACGGUAGCUAAUACCGCAUAACGUCGCAAGACCAAAGAGGGGGACCUUCGGGCCUCUUGCCAUCGGAUGUGCCCAGAUGGGAUUAGCUAGUAGGUGGGGUAACGGCUCACCUAGGCGACGAUCCCUAGCUGGUCUGAGAGGAUGACCAGCCACACUGGAACUGAGACACGGUCCAGACUCCUACGGGAGGCAGCAGUGGGGAAUAUUGCACAAUGGGCGCAAGCCUGAUGCAGCCAUGCCGCGUGUAUGAAGAAGGCCUUCGGGUUGUAAAGUACUUUCAGCGGGGAGGAAGGGAGUAAAGUUAAUACCUUUGCUCAUUGACGUUACCCGCAGAAGAAGCACCGGCUAACUCCGUGCCAGCAGCCGCGGUAAUACGGAGGGUGCAAGCGUUAAUCGGAAUUACUGGGCGUAAAGCGCACGCAGGUGGUUUGUUAAGUCAGAUGUGAAAUCCCCGGGCUCAACCUGGGGACUGCAUCUGAUACUGGCAAGCUUGAGUCUCGUAGAGGGGGGUAGAAUUCCAGGUGUAGCGGUGAAAUGCGUAGAGAUCUGGAGGAAUACCGGUGGCGAAGGCGGCCCCCUGGACGAAGACUGACGCUCAGGUGCGAAAGCGUGGGGAGCAAACAGGAUUAGAUACCCUGGUAGUCCACGCCGUAAACGAUGUCGACUUGGAGGUUGUGCCCUUGAGGCGUGGCCUCCGGAGCUAACGCGUUAAGUCGACCGCCUGGGGAGUACGGCCGCAAGGUUAAAACUCAAAUGAAUUGACGGGGGCCCGCACAAGCGGUGGAGCAUGUGGUUUAAUUCGAUGCAACGCGAAGAACCUUACCUGGUCUUGACAUCCACGGAAGUUUUCAGAGAUGAGAAUGUGCCUUCGGGAACCGUGAGACAGGUGCUGCAUGGCUGUCGUCAGCUCGUGUUGUGAAAUGUUGGGUUAAGUCCCGCAACGAGCGCAACCCUUAUCCUUUGUUGCCAGCGGUCCGGCCGGGAACUCAAAGGAGACUGCCAGUGAUAAACUGGAGGAAGGUGGGGAUGACGUCAAGUCAUCUUGGCCCUUACGACCAGGGCUACACACGUGCUACAAUGGCGCAUACAAAGAGAAGCGACCUCGCGAGAGCAAGCGGACCUCAUAAAGUGCGUCGUAGUCCGGAUUGGAGUCUGCAACUCGACUCCAUGAAGUCGGAAUCGCUAGUAAUCGUGGAUCAGAAUGCCACGGUGAAUACGUUCCCGGGCCUUGUACACACCGCCCGUCACACCAUGGGAGUGGGUUGCAAAAGAAGUAGGUAGCUUAACCUUCGGGAGGGCGCUUACCACUUUGUGAUCAUGACUGGGGGUGAAGUCGUAACAAGGUAACCGUAGGGGAACCUGCGGUUG